rnacentral:lncRNA from 1 species
AAUUUUCUUAUGAUGUUGCCUGAGAGAUUCUUUGCAUUGAAAGAUGAAUAAUUAGAAAUGAUUGGUUCUCUCUAGUUUAUUUUAGAGAGAGGUUUUCUCUCGGUUGUUUUUCUUUCUGAGGAGAAAGUCUUCGUUUUUAUCAGUUCCGCAGUGGGAGAGGCUUUUCUCUUCUUGCUCGGACCGUGAAUUCUCUGCUCUUCCCUCCGAGUAGAAGUUUGCAUAUAGUUGUUUUCUAUUCUGCUCUUGUUUCUUCUUUUUUCUUUUGGUGCGGGUUGGUCUUCAUGGUUGUAUUUCUAGAUCCUGCUUUCGUUUGUUUGGUUGCUACUAAUUUCUUUUGCUUCAUUUCUGCUCCUCUUCCUCUUUCUCGGAGUUUUUCAGUGUGAAGUUUUUUAUGAUGAGGCAACAACAGAUCUUGAUUGAUGGGUUGAAGGGCGGCGGUGGCAUAUGAGCAAGGAGGCUUUUUCUUGCUUUAGGAUUUCUCUUUGGGCCUUCAGCAUUUAUUUUAUUGUAUCUGUUUUGAGCACAAAAGUCUAUUUGGGGGUGUUCUGAGUGCUUGUAACUAGACUUUGAUUUUUUGUUUUUUUAAUGAAAAUCUUCAUAAAAAAAAAAGAUGAACAAUUCUAUGAGAAGAUAAUUCUCUAAAAGCCUUUAUAAGAGCGAUUUCCAUUCU